rnacentral:rRNA from 1 species
UACGUAGGUGGCAAGCGUUGUCCGGAUUUAUUGGGUUUAAAGGGUGCGUAGGCGGUCUUAUAAGUCAGUGCUGAAAUAUCCCGGCUUAACCGGGAGGGUGGCAUUGAUACUGUAGGACUUUGAGUAAAGUUGAGGUUGGCGGAAUUGACGGUGUAGCGGUGAAAUGCUUAGAUAUCGUCAAGAACACCUAUAGCGAAGGCAGCUAACUAAAACUUUAAACUGACGGCUGAGGCACGAAAAGUGUGGGGAUCAAACAGG